UGGGGAAUAUUGCACAAUGGGCGCAAGUCUGAUGCAGCAACGCCGCGUGCGGGAUGACGGCCUUCGGGUUGUAAACCGCUUUUAGUAGGGAAGAAGGGCUUCGGCUUGACGGUACCUGCAGAAAAAGGACCGGCUAACUACGUGCCAGCAGCCGCGGUAAUACGUAGGGUCCGAGCGUUGUCCGGAAUUAUUGGGCGUAAAGAGCUCGUAGGCGGUUUGUCGCGUCUGCUGUGAAAUCCCGAGGCUCAACCUCGGGCCUGCAGUGGGUACGGGCAGACUGGAGUGCGGUAGGGGAGAAUGGAAUUCCUGGUGUAGCGGUGGAAUGCGCAGAUAUCAGGAGGAACACCGAUGGCGAAGGCAGUUCUCUGGGCCGUAACUGACGCUGAGGAGCGAAAGCGUGGGGAGCGAACAGGAUUAGAUACCCUGGUAGUCCACGCCGUAAACGUUGGGCGCUAGAUGUGGGGACCUUUCCACGGUUUCCGUGUCGUAGCUAACGCAUUAAGCGCCCCGCCUGGGGAGUACGGCCGCAAGGCUAA
rnacentral:rRNA from 1 species